rnacentral:rRNA from 1 species
AGUGAACGCUGGCGGUAGGCCUAACACAUGCAAGUCGAACGGCAGCACAGGAGAGCUUGCUCUCUGGGUGGCGAGUGGCGGACGGGUGAGGAAUACAUCGGAAUCUACCUUUCGUGGGGGAUAACGUAGGGAAACUUACGCUAAUACCGCAUGCGCCCUUCGGGGGAAAGCCGGGGACCUUCGGGCCUGGCGCGAUUGGAUGAGCCCAUGUCGGAUUAGCUAGUUGGCGGGGUAAUGGCCCACCAAGGCGACGAUCCGUAGCUGGUCUGAGAGGAUGAUCAGCCACACUGGAACUGAGACACGGUCCAGACUCCUACGGGAGGCAGCAGUAGGGAAUAUUGGACAAUGGGCGCAAGCCUGAUCCAGCCAUGCCGCGUGCAGGAAGGAGCCCUUCGGGGUGUAAACUGCUGUCGUGUAGGGAGAAGGGUACUAAGGUGAACAAUCUUAGUACUUGACGGUACUACAGGAGGAAGCCCAGGCUAACCUCGUG